GACGAACGCUGGCGGCGUGCUUAACACAUGCAAGUCGAACGGUGAAGCGCCUUCCUUUUUGGUGGGUGUGGAUGAGUGGCUAACUGGUGAGUAACACGUGAGUAACCUGCCCCCUUCUUCUGGAUAACCGCAUGAAAGUGUGGCUAAUACGGGAUAUUCUGGGUCUGUCGCAUGUUGGGUCUGUGAACGAUAUUGUUUCGGUGCGCGAUGUGCUCGCGGCCUAUCAGCUUGUUGGGGGGGUGAUGGCCUACCAAGGCGGUGACGGGUAGCCGGCCUGGGAGGGUGGACGGCCAGAGGGGGAGAGAGGCAAGGCUGGGACUGCGACAGGGGGCAGACGCGGGGGAGAGGGAACAGUGGGGGAAAGUGUGCAGCAGGGGCGCGGCGUGAGGGAUGGAGGCCUGCGGGGUGUGAAGGUCUUUGGGUAGUGAAGCAGGUCUGGCUGGUAUGUAGGGAGGUUGACGGUGGCUGGAGAAGAAGCGCCGGCUAACUACGUG
rnacentral:rRNA from 1 species